UUUAGAGUUUGAUCCAUGGCUCAGAUUGAACGCUGGCGGCGUGCCUAACACAUGCAAGUCGCACGCGAAAGGGGGCAACCCCGAGUAGAGUGGCGGACGGGUGAGAAAUGCUUGGGAAUCUACCUCGUAGUGGGGGACAACCUAGGGAAACUUAGGCUAAUACCGCAUACGAUCCAUGGAUGAAAGCGGAGGACCGCAAGGCUUCGCGCUAUGAGAUGAGCCCAAGUCCGAUUAGCUAGUUGGUGAGGUAAAAGCUCACCAAGGCGACGAUCGGUAGCUGGUCUGAGAGGACGACCAGCCACACUGGGACUGAGACACGGCCCAGACUCCUACGGGAGGCAGCAGUGGGGAAUAUUGGACAAUGGGGGAAACCCUGAUCCAGCGACGCCGCGUGGGUGAAGAAGGCCUUCGGGUUGUAAAGCCCUUUCGGCAGGGAAAAAAAUGGCGGAGCUAAUAUCUCCGUCCUUGAUGGUACCUGAAGAAGAGCACCGG
rnacentral:rRNA from 1 species